AGAGUUUGAUCCUGGCUCAGAACGAACGCUGGCGGCGUGGAUAAGACAUGCAAGUCGAACGGGAUAUUGUUUGUAGCAAUACAAAUGAUGUCCAGUGGCGUAAGGGUGCGUAACACGUGGGGAAUCUGCCGAGAAGUGGGGGAUAGCUCGCCGAAAGGCGAAUUAAUACCGCAUGUGGCUAGUGAAGACAUCUUCGCAAGGCCAAAGCCGGGGCAACCUGGCGCUUCUUGAUGACCCCGCGGCCUAUCAGCUAGUUGGUGAGGUAACGGCUCACCAAGGCUAUGACGGGUAGCUGGUCUGAGAGGACGACCAGCCACACUGGAACUGAGACACGGUCCAGACACCUACGGGUGGCAGCAGUCGAGAAUUUUUCUCAAUGGGGGAAACCCUGAAGGAGCGACGCCGCGUGGAGGAUGAAGGUCUUCGGAUUGUAAACUCCUGUCAUUUGGGAACAAUUGUUGGCGAUUAACUGUCGUCAGCUUGAUAGUACCAGAAGAGGAAGAGACGGCUAACUCUGUGCCAGCAGCCGCGGUAAUACAGAGGUCUCAAGCGUUGUUCGGAUUCAUUGGGCGUAAAGGGUGCGUAGGUGGCGAGGUAAGUCAGGUGUGAAAUCUCGGGGCUCAACCCCGAAACUGCACUUGAUACUGCCUUGCUCGAGUACUGGAGAGGAGAUUGGAAUUUACGGUGUAGCAGUGAAAUGCGUAGAUAUCGUAAGGAAGACCAGUGGCGAAGGCGAAUCUCUGGACAGUUACUGACACUGAGGCACGAAGGCCAGGGGAGCAAACGGGAUUAGAUACCCUAGUAGUCC
rnacentral:rRNA from 1 species